rnacentral:lncRNA from 1 species
UCCUAAAGGUGUCGGAAAAAUCAUAGGUAAUUGUGGUGGCGAAACCAAACUCUGAAGAAGUGUUUAAAGGCUCUAAAAUAAUUAUGACAGUAUCAAAAACAAUUAAUUACAUGCCUUUUUCAAUUAAAAAAAUACUAACCUAUUUUAUUGGGGUCCAUAGUUAAUGUGGCAGUAGUAUAUUUAGAUACACUAAAUUAGAAACUACUUUUAUCUUUUUAGAUUCGAAAAUAGAUUAAAGGCUAAAAGAAAACAUGAUAGGAGAAAUAAAUAGGCAGAAAAGAAAAUAAAAAAAAGGAAAGGAUAAAAAAAGAGAACACCCCCCCCUUGCUGGGCCAUGGCCCAGAUGGCCUCGGUGCCAACCAGGCCGGCCCAGCCGGCGCCUACAUCACCCAUGGGGCGACCGAACCCUAAACUCCCUCCCCAGUCGCCCCACUCCCCACUCCCCUCGCCCCCACACACCCCCACUCCCCGCUGGAUCUGGAUCGAGGCAAGCGUGCCCNNNNNNNNNNNNNNNNNNNNNNNNNNNNNNNNNNNNNNNNNNNNNNNNNNNNNNNNNNNNNNNNNNNNNNNNNNNNNNNNNNNNNNNNNNNNNNNNNNNNNNNNNNNNNNNNNNNNNNNNNNNNNNNNNNNNNNNNNNNNNNNNNNNNNNNNNNNNNNNNNNNNNNNNNNNNNNNNNNNNNNNNNNNNNNNNNNNNNNNNNNNNNNNNNNNNNNNNNNNNNNNNNNNNNNNNNNNNNNNNNNNNNNNNNNNNNNNNNNNNNNNNNNNNNNNNNNNNNNNNNNNNNNNNNNNNNNNNNNNNNNNNNNNNNNNNNNNNNNNNNNNNNNNNNNNNNNNNNNNNNNNNNNNNNNNNNNNNNNNNNNNNNNNNNNNNNNNNNNNNNNNNNNNNNNNNNNNNNNNNNNNNNNNNNNNNNNNNNNNNNNNNNNNNNNNNNNNNNNNNNNNNNNNNNNNNNNNNNNNNNNNNNNNNNNNNNNNNNNNNNNNCCCCGCGGCAACUCCGCCUGCACCUGCCGCCGAGCCCGCUACCGUUGCUGCUGCUCCAUCGCUGCCCCGCGCGCCCACGGCUCCGUGCCUUCCCUCGCACUUGCCGGCGGUUUCCGCUCCCCGCGCCCCACUCCGGUGCCGCUCGACGCUCCUCCCGUCCCUCCCGCGCCAGCCACUGGCGGCCGGCCUCGCCGCGGCCGCGGCCCCCCUCGUUGGUCGCCGCCCGGGUCCGCCCCUCGCCUGCUUUUGCGGCUUCACGCCGGCGUGCCGGCACCCGCGCCCAAUCGGGUGCACCCGCGAGGGCCAUCGCCCGUUCGGGCUGUGCCCGUAACCCGCACGCCCGCAAAGGCCCCUGGGGUCAAUGACAGGAGGGCCCCGCCUCCAAAACAUUUAAAAAAAAGGGAUAUAAAAAAAGAAUUUAAAAUAAUAAUAAUAAUAAUAAUUAAUUGGUUACUUAAUUAAAUAACUAAUUAGGACAAAUAAUUAACCUAAUUAACCUAUGUUAGUUAAUCUAAUUAACUAAUUAAUGUAGUUAAUUAGGUAGUUAGUUAGUAUGUCAAUGACAGUGGGACCCACAUGUUAGUUUGACUAGGUCAACUGACUAGCUGACUGAUGACAUCACCCUAACAUCAUGCUGAUGUUAUAAUUGCAUUUUCUAACUAAAUUAAUUCUGUUAAUUCUAAAAAUGAUUUAAAUCUUUUAAAAUUAAUAGAAAAUAAACCGUAGCUCAGAUGGAAAAACUUUGUACAUGAAAGUUGCUCAGAACGACGAGACGAACCCGGAUAGCCAGCCCGUUCGUCCGCCACACACCCUUAACAUAUCCAACUCGCAACUUUCCCCCUCCGGCUCCUCUGCCCGAAAACGUGAAACACCGGGGAUACUUUCCCGGAUGUUUCCCCCCUUCACCGGUAUCACCUCAUACCGCGUUAGGGCACCCCUAGCACCAUUACUGGUCUUGUCAUGCAUCGUUAUGCAUCUGUUUGCAUUGUAUUCAUUGUUUCUUCCCCCCUCUUCUUCCGCUAGACACCGAGACCGACGCCGCUGCUGCCCAGUACGCCUACUCUUCUCUAUACUGCUUGCAUUAGAGUAGUGUAGCAUGUUACUGCUUUCCGUUAUUCCUAUCCUGAUGCAUAGCCUGUCCUUGCUACUACUGUUGUUACCAUUACCUGCUAUCCUACUGCUUAGUAUAGGAUGCUAGUUUAUCAUCAGUGGCCCUACAUUCUUGUCCGUCUGCCAUGCUAUACUAUCGGGCUGUGAUCACUCGGGAGGUGAUCACGGGUAUAUACUAAAUACUUUACUCAUUUACAUUACUUAUGAUACUGUUCGGAGAUGGGGGCUAAGGGGAGGUGGCUCCAUCCCGGUAGAGGUGGGCCUGGGUUCCUGACGGCCCCCGACUGUUACUUUGAGGCGAAGCGACAGGGCAGGUUGAGACCACCUAGGAGAGAGGUGGGCCUGGCCCUAGUCGGCGUUCGCGGAUACAUAACACGCUUAACGAGAUCUUGGUAUUUGAUCUGAGUCUGGCCAUUGGCUUAUACGCACUAACCAUCUACGCGGGGACAGUUAUGGGCACUCGACGUCGUGGUAUCAGCCGAAACCUUCGUGACGUCAGCGACUGAGCGGCGCGCGCCAGAUUGGACCGUAAGCCUGCUCUUGUAUUAAGGGGGCUAGUUCUGCUUCCGGCCGCGUUCGCAACGUGCAGGUGUGCAAAGGGCGAUGGGCCCAGACCCCUGCGCCAUAGGAUUUAGACCGGCGUGCUGACCUCUCUGUUAUGCCUAGGUAGGGCUGUGACGUGUUGAUCUCCCGAGGCCGGGCAUGACCCAGGAAAGUGUGUCCGGCCAAAUGUGAUCGAGCGUGUUGGGUUAUGUGGUGCACCCCUGCAGGGAAGUUAAUCUAUUCGAAUAGCCGUGAUCUUCGGUAACAGGACGACUUGGAGUUGUACCUUGACCUUAUGACAACUAGAACCGGAUACUUAAUAAAACACACCCUUCCAAGUGCCAGAUACAACCGGUGAUCGCUCUCUCACAGGGCGACGAGGGGAGGAUCAUCGGUUAGGAUUAUGCUAUACGAUGCUACUUGGAGGUCUUCAGUCUACUCUCUUCUACAUGCUGCAAGACGGAGGCUGCCAGAAGCGUAAACUUCGACAGGAUUAGUUAUCCCCCUCUUAUUCUGGCAUUCUACAGUUCAGUCCACUGAUAUGGCCCUUUACACAUAUACCCAUGCAUAUGUAGUGUAGCUCCUUGCUUGCGAGUACUUUGGAUGAGUACUCAUGGUUGCUUUCUCCCUCUUUUCCCCUAUCCCUUCUACCUGGUUGUGUCAACCAGAUGUUGAAGCCUAGGAGCCAGACGCCACCUUCGACGACGACUCCUACUACACCGGAGGUGCCUACUACUACGUGCUACCCGCUGACGACGACCAUGAGUAGUUUAGGAGGAUCCCAGGCAGGAGGCCUGCGCCUCUUUCGAUCUGUAUCCCAGUUUGUGCUAGCCUUCUUAAGGCAAACUUGUUUAACUUAUGUCUGUACUCAGAUAUUGUUGCUUUCGCUGACUCGUCUAUGAUCGAGCUCUUGUAUUCGAGCCCUCGAGGCCCCUGGCUUGUAAUAUGAUGCUUGUAUGACUUAUUUUAUUUGUAGAGUUGUGUUGUGAUAUCUACCCGUGAGUCCUUGAUCUUGAUCGUACACAUUUGCGUGCAUGAUUAGUGUAUGGUCAAAUCGGGGGCGUCACAAGUUGGUAUCAGAGCCGACUGCCUGUAGGAAUCCCCUUUCCAACUCCUUGGCCGAAUUUGAGUCUAGUCAUUGCAAAACCUUUACUAACAUGGCUGUGUGGCCUAUGGGCCCACGUCGCCAUUGGGUGGUAUUAGGAUCUCUUAUUUCUCGUCUAUGCUCUGGUACUCUGAACUCUCUCCUAUUCGGGUUUAAUGAAUUUACUAAAAAUCUAACUUAGGUUCUCGAAAAUAUUUUCUCCCGGAGAACCCCCUUCAAUCCAGGUGAUCGCCGGCUGCACUAGAAGAUUUCGAAGAUACUCUCCGAUAUUCUGUCGAGACCUUGUGCCUGUUGCUUUUGCAAUUCCCUUCUAUCGAUAAACCUCUAUGGAUAACCACGUACAUGUGCCAUUCAUAUAAUCAUUCCUCAUUGAUCUUGUUAUUACAAGAUGCCCCAAAAUUCUCACUAUUGUUCCGAGAAUACUUUGUGCCUACUGCCUUGCAUUUAUUUGCCACAUGAAUACCACUAUGGGUAAUUUCUAGCACUCAUCGGAUAUUUUCUCAUCACCAGUUGGUUCAUGUAUUUCACAAAAGUCUUCAAAAUACUAUUUGAACUUCCGAAAAUCUUGAGUAGCCUAUUAUCUCUUGAAGUUCUUACUUGCUUGCGUUAUGGUUAAUCCCAUAAGUCUAUAAUUUUAUUGGCAUCCCUUAUCAUUAUCAUUUUGAGUCUGUUGAUUCAAAAUGUUGUGAAUGCUCGCCAUCCUCAAUCAGAUCCAAUGAUUCAUCCUUCCGGCUCGCACGUCAUUUUGAACAUGAGCUGGUUAUCGACCAAUCAAAUUGUCGUUGAUUGUACCCCUAAGUCUAUUCAACUGAUCCAUUCUUAAUGAGAGCGUUGGCUUUUGAUCCCUUGAUUUGGAAAUGAUAAUUCCUUUGUAUUUAAGAUUUGAAAUACUCAGUUGUUUAUAUAAUCUGAUGCCCUUUCAUUCCAUCUUCCUCAGAUAGAGUACCGAUACUCGCAUCAGCUCCAUUGUAGACCAUAGGACCCCUUGUUGGAUUAUUAUCCGGCAGUGUCCUUCCUAUUCAAUAACCUUGUGAGCCUUUCCAUGGGUAUAUGAUACCUUUGGUAAAUUGUAUCAUCUGUUUUGCUAACCAUGCUCUACUUUCGAGCUUGUGAUAUUUACUCUUGAAACUUGUUGUAUAUGUUUCUAUGAAACCCCGAUGGCUUGAACCUAUACAACCUUCUCUAAAACCGUGUGAACUCGAAAGUUUUCACGAGUCAUACACUUCUGGUAUUUUGCUAGAUGAAAUUUCAACAAUACAACUUCUUCAAAAGUGAGAAGUGAAUGAAAGGUUAUGCAUUGGAGAAGUGGGAGUCGACCUUGAACUUUGUGUUCAUGCCCAUGGACACGAUGUAGAUCCUAUCAUAGAAGUUUCUUGCAAUAUUAACUAUUUCCUUGAUAUGACAUCAUCUGGUAUCUAUGUAUUGGUCAUUUGCAAUCAUGAUCCUGACCACAUUUUCUCCUUGAUUCCAUUUCUCAGACAAGUUAAAGCACUUGUCUUUUGUUGAUCGAUACAUCUUUGCAACCUCUAUUUUUGAUCUUCCUCGAGUAUUAACCUCUGGUAUCUCGAGUAUUGUGUUACUUCCUACGAGUCUUCAUCUAGUAUUGUUUCUCACCGAUCUCGGAUCUCCCCAGGUUCUGAGUUAUUAGUCACUCGAGAACACCGAUAAGUGAAUCGAUUCCGCACUCUGAUUCAAUAACUCUAAGUAAUUAUUGUUGCUUACGAGUUUAAUAAUCCUUCAAGUCAUUCCUAGCCUGAGCGGCUAUAUCAUUAUCGUGCUAAAUUUUAACUGUGCUACCUGGUCCUUAAUCCCGGAGCAAAACUUUCGAUGAUGAGCUAAGCUUACGUCGAUCUUCCUCGUCAUAUCAGUUCACCUUGAACAACAAGCUUGAUUUAAAGUUUGUGUCCUACCCAUGGUUCCAAUGACCUUCCGCUUCAUCAUUUCUUUGACUCGAUGUCGUUGCUGAUUGUUUACAUCUUGAAAUCUCUCGAAAAAUGUGUCGUGAACAUCAUCAACCUUAUGAGGUCUUCCAAGAUAUCUAUCGAAUUCUUGAUGAGAAAUAGCGGCAGAAAUCACAGAUUUGACCUGAGGCGGAAAUCAAAUCACAAACUGACCUGUUCAGGAAACAAUUUCACUCUGCUGUCCCUUUGGUGUGGCGCCCGACAUCUAGGCGCCGCACCCUACUGUGCAGCGCCUUCCCCUUAGGCGUCGCACAUCCUGCCAGUGUGGCAGCCCUGGUCCAGUUGCGGCCCCACACGCACCUGUGCAGCGCCUAAGAGCUAGGCGCCACACUUUGACGUGCAGCGCCUAGCCCUUGGGCGCUGCACAGUGACUUAAGCGCGGCCGCCCAGCCCGACCAGGCAGUUCUUCAUCUCUCCUCUCUCUGUACAGAGAGCAGCGGCGGCGGCGGCGCCCCCAUCUAAUCCCCCCACAUCCCUCUCAGAUCUGAAGAUUUGAUCCGUGGAUUCGAUCCCCAAUCCAUCCUACUAGGUAAACUCUUCCCUUCUCUUUCUUUUGCUCCGUAAAUUUGUUGCCAUUCUAGAGAUUUGUCCAUGAUUUGAUGGAACCCUUGAUUUGUUUGGUUUGCUCGAUUUAGGAUGUGUAUUCAUAUUGGUAGUACUGUAGUGUUAUUUAUUAGUUCACAAUAUAUGAUUCUUAUUGUUGAAACCCUAGAUUGUUUAGUUUUUUUAGAUAUAUAUGAGAUGCCUAUUUUUGUUUAGUUUAUUUGAGAUGAAGAUGAACUUUUAUAUGUUUAUUGUUUGAAAUUGUAAGGAUGGUUUGGCUUCUGGACGAUGUCUACGACGUGCAACACCGGGCCUACAUGAUGCGCGAGAAGGAUAAGGUAAUAAUGAGUAAUCUAAAUAUUUUGCAAAUUUGCCUUUAGUUGAAAUUUACAUGCCCUAAGAUUUGUCAUUACUUGUUUUUUGCAGAAGCUUGAACCUCUGAAGAUUCGGUAUCACGGGGUCUCUGGUCCUGCCAUGCCUUACGAUGAGCGGUACACACCGUACAUCAAGCAGGCAGGACUACUCCCGUGGAUUCUGUUGGUCAGCCGGUCCACGCCGAAUCUGAAUGCUCCACUGGUGUCCGCUCUUGUUGAUCGGUGGAGGCCAGAGACCCACAGUUUCCAUCUUCGGACCGAGGAGAUGACCAUGACGCUCGAGGAUGUCUCGUUGAUCACCGGUCUUGCUAUCGACGGGAGGCCUCUAUGUAUGAGCACCAAUUCUGAUGGGUGGCGCGAGCAGAUGAUUGCUCUUAUCGGUAUGGCUCCUACCGAGGCUGAGGAUGAUGUAGAGGAGGGAGAAGAGAAGAAGAAGAGGGAAAGGAAGGCAGCCAGAGCUGCUUUCACGUGGAUUCAAAAUAACUUUGCGACGUGCCCUCCGGAUGCAAUUGAUGAUGUGAUCCAGACACAUGCUCGUGUGUAUAUGUGGUACAUUGUGUCGAGGACUUUGUUUCCUGACUCCACUGGCAAGAACGCUCCAUGGAUGUGGCUGAAGGCGUUGACCGUCUUCGAUAGCAAAUGGAGCUGGGGUUCAGCGACUCUUGCCUACUUGUACCGACAGGUAGUUGGUCUGUUUUGUGAUCAACUCAUUUAUUCAUUAGCAAUGCAAGCUUGCUGUCAAGUUAACAUUGUUUUUCUUUCAUAUGUAGCUGGAUGAUGCGUGUUGCAGGAACACACCUAGUGCAGGCAUUGGUGGUAAUCUGCUUCUACUUUCUGUAUGGAGCUGGGAGCGUCUGCCUGUUGGACGCCCGAAGAGCGUCAGGUUUGAUCCUUGGUAUGCAGAUGAACAUGACGAAUUACAGCGCCCCACGUGGGCUUACAAGUGGAAUACCGUUUCCGAGAUGACGAACGAUGUCAAUCUCAUGUACCAAAAGUACAUUGCCGAGUUGGACACGAUUACGCCUGAGCAGGUAAGGAGGUCAUUACUUUAGUCCUUUCUCAUGCUUGCUUGAAAAAUAGUUAUCAAAUUUGCAUUGUUGCCCUGUUUCAUAGGUGGAAUGGCAGCCAUAUGGCGCGGGUGAGAGUUUGAGGUACACCGCGGACUUCCGCCUCAACCCGAUGUGCUUGCGGGAUAAGGAUCUCUGGCUUAUGCGGUGCCCACUGAUAUGCAACUGGGCGGUUGAGUUUCAUUUGCCGCAUCGCGUGUAUCGUCAGUUUGGUCUUUUCCAGCCUCACCCGCCGGAUUGGGUGGACACGGGUAAAGCACUUCAUAGGUAAGAGAGCAUGUGUGCGUAUUGUCUAAUCAUCGUGACUCCUUUUGAUUGUGCUAAUGUUUAGUUUUAUACCACGCAGGUUGGAUAGGAGAAGGCAACGGAAGAUAAAGGACUGGGCCAAGCAUCAUUCUGCGUAUGUUACCCGCUUCCAGCUUUGUGUGGAGCAAGCUCGUAGCACUGCACGCGCCCCGCUUCGUGAGCACAACUCACUUGAUUUUGAUAACUACGUACGAUGGUUUAUUGGAACUACUCGAGUUGAGAUAUGCCCGCCGGCAUAUAAUGAGGAUAUUCUUGAAGAACCCGUAAACUUUGAGGAUCUAGCAAAGGGGAAGUACAACAGAGAUGUCAGGCUAGGGCAAGGAGUCCCUGCUGUUCCGGUGAUUAACUAUGUGGUAAAGUGUUCCCCUCUUUACUUUCCUGUUGACCAUAUUACACAUGUUUGAAUGGCUAACGCAUUCAUUUUUUCUCAUCCGCAGCGCACCGAGAUCAAGAAAGCAGCUGAUGAGAGCCAGUCUAUUCUGGAGAAGACACCGGUUGGAACUGGCAAUGAUGAUGGUUCACUACGAGCAUUCCUCAAGGUACAUAUCGCAUUCACUAUGAGAGCCAGUCUAUGUUGCGAAGUUUGAUAUCUUACACACUUGUUCGUGUUACAGCGUCAGGCCAAGAAGUUAAGGCGGUUAUCGAACCUUCUCGGUUGCCGUGAUCCUGAAUAUGAUGAACCAUCUGCCUCUAGGUCUGGUACACCAUCAGACCCCGCACCUCACCAUGAGGGGGACGAUGUGAGUUCCUCAUAUGCUUAUAUGGAUGAUGAGGGUGGGAUCACCCAAGAGGUAUGACUAAUCCUUUAGAUGUGAUUCUCACUUGAUUACGAUAUCGGCCUUCACCAUAUUGUUUCGUUGUGUGAUAGGGCAAUGAGCUUGAUGAUGACAUGACUUUGGCGGACGCUCAAGCUCGGUCCGCAUAUGUGUUCAAGCCUAGGCAGCCCAGACGCCGGUACACGCCCAACGACUAUGACAACAGAGGCAACCCAAAGGUGGUCGUAGGGACCUCGCGGAUGGCUAGCUUGGAUGAUGAGGCGGAGGAGGAGGCGGAGGCGGAGGCGGAGGCGGAGGCAGAGGCGGAGCAGGGAGUGCACGAAGAGGAUCCUCGUGCUCCUAAGAAGAAGAAGCUUGCCUGCAGGCGUGCCACCAGGAACACGCGCGGAAGGCAUUAGUGCUUGUUCAUGUUAAUUAUAGCCGUUUAAUUAGGUUGACGAACUUGUGAGGUUAUGUUAUAUGUUGGUGAAAUCUUACUAGUGUGGUAUUUGUGUUUGCGAACCUAAAGUAAUGUUGAAUUGUCUUAAAUGAUAUGAUGUUCAAGUUAUUAGUUUCUGCAGUUUACAGUAUUUUUAUUAUGUUAUAUGUUGGUGAACUCUUACUAGUGCAGUUUACAGUAUUUUUAUUAUGUGAGUGCUGCUGCAGGAGGCCAAAAUGGCAUCUGUUUUUGCAGUUUUGCUUAUAGCAGCACUGCAGCGCCCAACAUAUAGGCGCUGCACUGUACUGUGUGGCGCCCAACAAUUGGGCGUUGCACUGUAUAGUGCAGCGCCCUGUCCUUAGGCGCUGCACUACUUCCAACAUCUCACAUCCAGAGAGCCACAGUUGGCUUGCAUCACAUCCACAAUACUUACAAUGACUGCAGCAUCACAACAAUUUGAACAAACAUAAAUUUUAAGCCGACGAGUUCAUAACUUAAGACAAUUCAAACAUUACUACGACAUGGUUCACGACACAUUCAUUACAAAUGACAAAUGGCAGCUUGCCCUAGAAGAUAGUUCACCAACAUCUCACAUGCCCUCACAACUUCAUGACACAUUCAUUAGAAAAUGGUUGACGACGAGUGCACCGAAGCGAAGUCCCUACUGAGUAGAGCGAGGCCAUUUCCCCUUCUUGUCACGUGCCGAGUCCUCCUCUUGCGCCUCGCGAGCCUUUGCAAGCUUUCUUGCCCUCUCCUCCUCACGAGCAAGUUUCGCUUGGCGUGCCCUCUCCUCCUCUCGUUUCUUCCGCUCCAUCCUCUCCUUCUGACGACGCUCUUCCUCCAAGCCUCUUCGAAACGAUUCUUCAAACCGUCGUUGCCGCCUAAGACAAUCUGCGUAUUGGUCCUUUUUCACAUCUUCUGGCACUUCAAGAUCUAUCCACGUGAAGUACUUGCAUAGAGGAGGCGGUGACUGCAUAAAAAUUUGUUGUUAGUGUUGACACACAUUUGAGAGUAACAUUAUACUUCUCGAGCUUACCGGUGGUUGGUCAUAGGCGUUAGUUGGAAGUGCACGAUCAUAAGCAUAGUUCGAGCAUACAAAAUAUCUCCGCCCUUCCGUCCAUGCUUUCUUUCGGUCGGUGGACACCUUCACCUUGCAAACAUCUCCACACCAACAAGGCGGGAUGUUGACAUCUUUCUCCUUCACCUUGUCCAAAGAUGCGUCCUCCCACUUGUUCGGCAUGUCUUCUUGGUUAGCACACGGUGGCCUCGUCAUGGAACCGGAUGAAGCCAUGCCUACAAAACCGAGAAUUAUUGGUCAACCCUAACCCCCACUUAACAAUAACCACAACCCUAACACCAACAUAACCCUAACCCUAGCAUACUAUGAAAACCUAACCAUACCAAAUUAGCAAAGAAACACAAAUUUCCAAAUCCUAUCAAAAACUAGGGUUUCCCCCAAACUAGCAAGAUUUGAGCAAAUGUGACAAUUCCUAUGGAUGAAAACGAGGGGAUCGGAGAAGAUUACCUUAAGGGAGGGGUUGGCUUCGAAAUCCACGGUCAAAUACUCCGGAUCUUGAAUGCGGCUUGCUUCGCCUUCCAUGCCUUGCCGUACUUCACCUUGUAAUGAAAGAUGGCUUUCACAAGGUCAAUGACACUCUUGAUGCUCAUUGUUGGAAGUGUGGAUAUUUGGUUGGACAGCCUGUAAGCAAUGAACUCGGACGUGAGUUGUCUGUGUUGUUGGUACACAAGCUUGCCAUCCGCAUUCUUGUGCCGGCACAUGUGAGUUGGUAGACAACUCACUAUGCGCCAAGUGGGGCCUCCUUUCCAUGGCCUUGCACGCACAAUCCAUGGACAUGUUGGCACUUCACAUUUGACCGUGUAACGCACAUUCACGUCCGAGUUGGCCACUUUAUGUGGACGAUAAUGUGUAACCGAGUAGUUGUCGAGCCACAUCUUCAAUUCCAAGAAGGAUUGAAACUCACAACCGGGAUAUAUCCCGUUCUUGCCGUCUUCCAAAUCACGGUGAGAACUUGGCCUAGCUCCAAGAGAUAUGCAUUUUCCACCAUCCACAAUGGCUUCAUCCGCGAGACUAAGAUCCUUGAACAAUGGUGUCUAGUGAUCCCGCCUGAAUACCUUCUUGAAUGCUUCGGCCUCCUUCGGUGUGAACCCCUCCUCAUCAACUUCUUCAUCAGGACCAUCGUCAUCCGAGUCCGAUGCAUAUGCACGGGAAAAAGGGAUGGAUUGGUCCAUUGUCUCUUGCACAUGAUAUUGGUCGAGAUCACCCACAUUGUUGUCAUGGAGGUCAACUUCGUUGUCAUCCUCCUCGUACUCAUCAUUCUCCUCUUCAAAACCUUCAUUUUGGUUGUUUGGAGUCGGGCUCAAUGUUGGCCAAUCUUCUUGCCUGAAUUGAGGUUCACUCAUUUGAUCUUGGUUCAUGGGUGGGGGAGUGCUAGCAACCAACGGGGAGGGGUUCCGGUUCAAGUCUAAAUUCAAAGUAGACUCAACCUUCUUGGAGGCAAAUAACUCAAGAGCCUUGUCUAGAGAUUCCGCAACUGUCUCCUUGUAUGCAACCCAACGUUGCUCGGAGUUCACACGCAUUGUCUUCCAACGGAUGUGCAUUCCUAAACCAACAUUAUGCCUUCCCUCGAACUCAACAACGUCACUUGGGUCCAUCCAAUUCAAAUCUUUCCUCACUUGUUUCAAAAGCUCCGCAUAGCUAGGACUACUCUCAAACACCAUGUCAAGCUCAUCCGGGUCCGUCUCAACAUUGCCUUUCAAAAAGGCCUCUUUAUCCACAUGAUGAACAUAAACACAUGUUCUCCCCAUCCCUACAAUAAUCAAAAACAGACAUAUAUCAAGUAAAUACUUAAGAAAAAUAUUUGCACACAUAUGCCCUAACAUAUAUAUGAAUUAAUAACCCUAACCCCCACAUAACAAUAACCACAACCCUAACACCAACAUAACCCUAACACCAAUAUCAAACACACAUAACCCUAACCCUAGCAUACUAUGGAAGCCUAAACAACCCAAAUUAGCAAAGAAAUAUAACAUCAUUCAACACAAAUUUCCAAAUCCUAUCAAAAUCUAGGGUUUCCCCAAACUAGCAAGAUUUGAGCAAAUGUGACAAUUCCUAUGGAUGAAAACGAGGGGAUCGGAGGAGAUUACCUUAAGGGAGGGGUUGGCUUCAAAAUCCACGGUGUGUGGCGGAUUUGCAAGAUUUGAGAAGGAUUUGAGAGGGGGGAGAGGGGAAGAGAGGAGGGCCGCAAGUCUAAGGGUUUGGGUCGGGUGGGGGUGUGUGGGGUGGGGGUGGGAGGGGAGAGAGGGUGGGGCCAGCCCAAGUUGAACACAGACUGUGCAGCGCCCAAGAGCUAGGCGCUGCACAUUACAGGUGUGUGGCGCCUAGAUCUUAGGCAUUGCACAGGUGCGUGUGGGGCCGCAACUGGACCAGGGCUGCCACGCUGGCAGGAUGUGCGACGCCUAAGGGAAGGGCGCUGCACAGUAGGGUGCGGCGCCCGGCUGUCGGGUGCCACACCAAAGGGUCAGCAGAGUGAAAUUUUUUCGUGACCAGGUCAGUUUGUGAUUUGAUUUCUGCCUGAGGUCAGAUAUGUGAUUUCUGCCAGAAAUAGCAUCCUUUGCCCUCGAUGAUUUGGGUUAUCAUCGGCAACAUUCUUUCUUUCCCUUCAACACAAACUUGUUCCUGUUUUGUGUUGUACCUUGAGAUCCUUGCUAUCCAACUUAUGUUAUGUUCUACCUUGGAGUAUUGCUAUCUUUUAGGUCAAGAAUGUCAUGGGAAAUUCACCACCCUUAAGAAUUCUUGAUACAAGUGAUACUUAUUAACAUCACCAUUCUUUUCUUGGUCCCCGUGUUGUUUCUAACCGAAAUACCAACAAAUGGUCUGUGAUGUGUAAAUUCUAAACUUCUAGCAACCCUAUUGCUUUGAAGUUAUUGGUCUGUAGUUUCAUUCUAUGUCUAUGGCUUAUUGAAUCAUCGUUCGAACAUUGAUCGUGCUACCCAGCCCAUAUUUCGGGUACACAUUUCAACCAAUGUUUAACUGUGUAUGUUUUCCUCGAGCAUACAUCAUUAAGUCAUUUGAUCUAGCUAAUGUUACCUCCCUGUUCACAUAAUUGUGGAGAUCCAUCUUUUGGAAAUCUCAAUGAAUUGUCGCUGAUUUCAUUAGCCACCCCUUCAUCCUCUCCUUGAUUAAAUGGUGAACUCAUGAUUCGGGACUUGCCUUCAUAGUUCAUUUCACGAGAAUCUUGCAACGCCAUCCCGUCCAUGUGUUGCACCUCUUUUUCUCAUCCCGGGUCUGAGGUAUCCUGACACCAAUCAGAUCUGAAUCUCGGUCAGAUAUGAUGGUUGGAACAUAUUUCCAAGAGUUAUAACGUUGGUCUUUGUAUGACCCGAUAAGGUGGUGUCAUACCUAGCCCACCUGGCCGGAGGCCCUAUUGUUAUAGUUCUUCCUUUUAGCAAUAUUGGCCAUUCUUCCAUGAGGAAAUUGUAAGACUUAUUCUAUAAGUUGUUCCUGAUGGAUCCUAGUUGUUUCCAAAGUCUGAUCUUCACCUGUUGACCAUGUCAAUGCUAUCUCGAGGCAUGUCUAUGGUACUCUGAUUUUCAACAGGAACAUUUGAAGCCCAAUGCUAAAUGUUUCCUGCUCAAUUAUCCAAACACCGUUGUAUGGGUAAUGGCAUGAAAAUUCUCUCCCGUGCCUAAAGAGUGUUCUACUUUCUAUCCUGUCAUGGAUAUCAUGCUCUGCUUGUCCUUGGGAGGAUAUACCCUUGAAAUAUGUGUUCCAUUGUCCUAUUUAGAUCUGAUAAUCGUAUUUUCCUUUCCAUUGUUUGGUUUAACCCUUUCUUGUGAUCUUUAUGAUCCAAGCAGAAAUAUUCUCCUGCUUAUGUAAACACCUCGGUGUACAUUUCUGUCAGCAAGACCCUGUUACUAUUGUUGAUGACAUUCUGGUAACCACCGAUGGAUGAGAACUUUGCCUAUUGGUCCGCCUCGUUCAACGAGCAGGAAAAAUGGUUCUCUUCGUCCCUCGCUCUUGGUACCGAUGUUGUUGUCGACAUAACCGACAGACUAACCUCUGACAUGCCUUGCCUACAUGACCAUGCAAGAUGUCAACGCCCUUCCUAGUUUUAACCCACAUGGUGGGCCCAUAACCCACAGUUCCACAGGAUCGAAACCUGACUCUCCUAUACACCCUGUUGUCGAAGUUAAUCCUCGCGCUUGGCUUCGUAUUUAAUUCACGGGCCACCUUCCUAGUGCUCUAUUCUGGUAUCAGACGCAAUACUUACUCUCGCUGCUCUGAAACCCUUUCUCACUCUGGUUCAGACUUCGAGCAACUAUCUAUCCACUUGGAACCUCUUAUAGUACCUUCGUACCUUACUCUUGAUGUAUUCGAUAUGUUCAGCUCGAGAGAUAAUCUUACGCUCAUUCAUGGGUUAACCCCCAGAUUGUUUCCCUCAUAAGCAUUCUGUCGUAGCCGAGCUGCCCCUUACCUAUUCGUAAGUACGUUGGAGUUCCCGAGAAAAGGACGACAUCACCAUGAUGACCUGAAGCAGAGAAAUGAAGAUGUCAAUGUAAUGGAUCGACCUCUUCAAGAAGAGCAACCAAGACUGAGAAGAUUCGUUAGCAUUUCGUAACCAGACCUUUCCCCCUUAGUCCCCCUCUUAAAUCUCGGGACGAGAUUUCUUGUAGUGGAGGAGAAUUGUGACGCCAGGAUAAUUAAGCUACAGUAACCCUCUGCUAAUAAUGCCACGUCACCUCGGUUACUGUUGCUAACCUUGCGUUAGUUCAAAAACGAUUCGAAUUCAAAUUCAAAUUCAAGCAAGCAACAAAAGUUUUGAAACGCUAAAACAAAAAUGUCCUAAAGGUGUCGGAAAAAUCAUAGGUAAUUGUGGUGGUGAAACCAAACUCUGAAGAAGUGUUUAAAGGCUCUAAAAUAAUUAUGACAGUAUCAAAAACAAUUAAUUACAUGCCUUUUUCAAUUAACAAAAUAGUAACCUAUUUUAUUGGGGUCCAUAGUUAAUGUGGCAGUAGUAUAUUUAGAUACACUAAAUUAGAAACUACUUUUACCUUUUUAGAUUCGAAAAUAGAUUAAAGGCUAAAAGAAAACAUGAUAGGAGAAAUAAAUAAGCAGAAAAGAAAAUAAAGAAAAAAGGAAAGGAUAAAAAAAA